UACGUAGGGGGGCAAGCGUUGUCCGGAAUCAUUGGGCGUAAAGCGCGCGUAGGCGGCCUCGUAAGUCCGCUGUGAAAGUCAAAGGCUCAACCUUUGAAUGCCGGUGGAUACUGCGAGGCUAGAGUCCGGAAGAGGCGAGUGGAACUCCUGGUGUAGCGGUGGAAUGCGCAGAUAUCGGGAGGAACACCUAUGGCGAAGGCAGCUCGCUGGGACGUUACUGACGCUGAGACGCGAAAGCGUGGGGAGCAAACAGG
rnacentral:rRNA from 1 species